CACCCAGCAAACAAUCAGUUCGACGUUAGAGACUAGUUAGGGGAUGUUAAUUAUGUUUUUUAAAUAAUUUUUAUGAUUUUAUGCUGUUACAAUAGUAGUAGUGCGUGUCUGUUUUCAAUGUUGUCACUUUGCUUAUGUAUAAAUAGUCGCACUGCUGAGGUACUGGUAAAAAAAAAAUAUAAGAAAACUGAAAUGCCUGAAAUUCCAACGAAUGCUCUGAUCCGUGCGGUCCGUUUUCUUCUGAUGACGUUCACAAGAGGUCGUAUGAAUGCCGGUACCAAUUACAUUCUCGCACCACUCAAAAAAUCCUAUGACGGCGGAUUCGAGUAUACCGUACGGAUUCACAUGGAUGUGCUGCUGCCUACGAUGUUCAUCACGUCGUGUGAUUACCUGCAUCAAGCUGCCUCCGGAACUCAUAUACUGCAGCUGGACAAACUGCACUUUUAACGGCGGAUACCGUGAAUCAAUCAGACACUGCCCGCAUGGAAGCCGGCACCAAACCACCUCCGUAGUCAUCUAUCGAAUGUGGCAACGAGAUCAAUUUAAUCGGAUUUACUGAGCAUUUCAACGGCAUGGAACAAGUCAUGGACUACAUUUCAGCGAGCAUUUCAGUGCCGAAGAGAAAUGGAAUUACAGUGAACGUUCGCUAAUUGGGGUUUUUCUAGUUGGGGCGCUUUUUAGUUGGGGGUUCGCUAAUUGGGGCGAAACCCAAUUAAAAAGCAGCUAAACGUCAGAAUGUGAUGUCAAAAACGCGUUGACGUUUUGUUUCCGUGUUUGGCGGGAUCGAUAAUUUCUGGCGCGUAAAAUUUUCCUUUGUUCAAUGCAAGAAGUAAACAACAUUGACGCUUGUCAAAACGCCCCAAUUAGCGAACGGCAUUCGCUAGUUGGGGUGAGGUCGUGCCCCAAUUAGCGAACGAUCACUGUAUAAGAAGAAGCAAUUAGAUAAGCGUUUAAAAACGGAUGUAGAUACGUACCAACAGAAAAGAGCCCAUCCGGAUGCAAUCUGAUGAGCUGGUAGCGGAUGCAAUUCGAGAAUUGCAAGAGGAAUUUUCAAUUUUCAUUAUGCGGUUUCGGACCGAACGUAACUCCGCAUAUCCUUUUUCGGCAAA